rnacentral:lncRNA from 1 species
CAUUUAUAUUUAAUUUAUGGUUUUAAUUUUCUGGAAAGAGCCCAAAGGAGCCCACUGCCCAAUGGAGUGCAUGAUACAGGUUUGGUAAGCACAAGUUAAAAUAAAAUAAAAAUGCUUCAGUGCCUUCGGAUGUGUCUAAAACAACAGAAUUAAGAGACUCUAAAAACCAGGGUCAUAAUUAUCUUUCAGUUUAUCUUAAAUGGCAAAGUGUAAGGGAAGAAAGGUGAGUAAAGAAAGAAAUGGGAGGGGGCUUUAAAAUGACAGGAUAUAGCAUUAAGCAUGGUUGAACCAGACUUAAACGUUGGCCCUGCCAGCCUUCCUGAAAAUGGAACAUUAUAGCCUUGCAAAAUCUGGAUUUCACAGUGAGAAAAAAAUCAAACAUAACACUUCUCACUCUGAAUCACUUUACCCAAAAGAGGGUUUUGAAUUGAAACCCUCAUUACUGCCAAUAACUGAGUUUACCUAAAUAAUCUCUAGCACUUUGGAAAGAGGGUAAGGCCACUGCUGUUUGGCAGAUUUAAAAAAGGCAGGAGUUGUGUCCUAGAGAAACCUUUUCUUCCCUUGAACUUUUUCAGAAAAGCUUUCCUGCUUUGGGCCCUCAUCUCCAGAGGAAUCCAUUGUGCAAAAUGUAGAAUACGGACCUAUAGAAAUAUUGGCUUAUUAACAUGUAUUUUUCUUUGGCAUUGCCCAUGCAUGCGCUAAAUGCAGACUUUUCAUUUUUGGGAAGGGUAAGGUGAGCUAUUUAAAUUUACUUGAUUUCAGGAAAUAUCCACAGAGACAUCCUAGACCCUCAAGAACCUUGCAUCUGUGUUCAAACAGUUGAAUUUAAACAAACAGUUGUGGAAGCCGGAAGUUCAAAAUCAAGAUGUCAGCAGUGUGUGUCAGUUCCUUCUGGAGUCUCGAGGAAGGAUCCGUUUGCUGCAACUCCUGAAACCUGAAGUCUGUGACUCACCAGUUCUAAGCCCCAGAGUCCUGAUGGGGCACCUCAAGGAGACACUUCAGCCACCUAAGUCAGCUGGACCACCCCAUGACACAGUCAUGGAGGUUCCAGUCUGAAUUCAGAGUCAAUGAUAAGGGAGGCUUCCGUGGCAGAGUGAAAAGCACACACCUGAGAAAUGAAAAGAAAUGGCAAAGGUCACACGUCUCAGGAUGAAUUGCACUGUGUGUGACACCCUAGCUGAAAUCCUAUCCCACAGGACCAUCAGCCUGGAAUGCAGUUUGAAGAUAUGUGCAGAAGAAAUGCCCAAGCCGACCCCGGACCUACAGUGAGAAGCAGAACAGCCCAGAGAAGCUCAGCCUAGGGCAACAGAGACAGCCUAGUCAACCUACAGAUCUGGGACAAUAAAUGCUUCUGCUUUUAAGCCACCG